rnacentral:rRNA from 1 species
UACGUAGGGUGCAAGCGUUUAAUCGGAAUUACUGGGCGUAAAGCGUGCGCAGGCGGUUUUGUAAGUCUGUUGUGAAAUCCCCGGGCUCAACCUGGGAAUGGCAAUGGAGACUGCAAGGCUAGAGUUUGGCAGAGGGGGGUAGAAUUCCACGUGUAGCAGUGAAAUGCGUAGAUAUGUGGAGGAACACCGAUGGCGAAGGCAGCCCCUGGGUCCAAAACUGAACGCUCAUGCACGAAAGCGUGGGGAGCAAACAGG